rnacentral:rRNA from 1 species
UACGGGGGGAGCAAGCGUUGUUCGGAUUUACUGGGCGUAAAGGGCGCGUAGGCGGUCAGCACAAGUCAGUUGUGAAAUCUCCGGGCUUAACUCGGAAAGGUCAACUGAUACUGUGCGACUAGAGUGCGGAAGGGGCAACUGGAAUUCUUGGUGUAGCGGUGAAAUGCGCAGAUAUCAGGAGGAACACCGGUGGCGAAGGCGGAUCUCUGGGCCAUUACUGACGCUGAGGAGCGAAAGCGUGGGGAGCGAACAGG